UAUUGUUUUUCAGGUAACCGGCUUCCCAAAUUUGAAGAGCUGUGUACUGUUUACAUUCUGAUGGGGAUGACUGGAUUGAUUCAAAGCGCAGUUAGUUGUAAUUGGAGAGCUGUCCAUUAGACCAUCAGCGGAAUCGUUGCAUAUUCUUCAAUUGCAGAAGAAGUUCUGCACAGAAAUGAUAGAUUUUGGGCUUACAAUAUGGAAUGAAACAUCAACAUGGAAAUACACUUCUGGAUGCAGUAGGUGGUAAUAUAUGCAGAUGAGUAACUUGGAAUAUUGACGUGAUGUUGAAGAAAAUCAGUCAUGGCGAAAGACAUUAUGGAAUUUCUGUUUUGUGGAACACAGCUAUCACUCCAGAGAAUUAAUGUCUCCAUUUCUGGAUUGUCUUCAAUGACUUUUUCCAAUAUUUCAUACACUGCAUUAGCAAUGUCAUUUCCAGCCCUACCAGAUGAUGUUUCUGGCCAAACUGCACAGCAUACUUUUUUUGUAGUUGACAGAUGGGCUGUCAUAUUGUAAACCGUAAACUACCUUUUAUAAAAAAAAGAAUUCAUUUCCGCCUUAGGGCAGCUGAGGACGUUUUCUAAAUCAAAACAAGAGUACUGGUAUGUUUCCUUCUGUAUCGUUCUUUCGUUCCUACCUCAUUGCUUCUUUUUCUUUCAAGUGAUUGUCGUAUGUGAUUUCUCUUUCUUCAGAUAAUCUAUUUUCUUUUUUUUUUUAAUAAACAAAUUUCUUCGCAAAGGUCACACCUAUCUUUUUUAGGAAUGUGAAAAUAAAAAUUGAAAUUUGUACAAAAUAUGGCCAUGUAUGCGGAUUCCUUGA